rnacentral:lncRNA from 1 species
UCACAGCAGCCUCCACAGAGGAGUCAUUAGAAAAGAAAAUACUUCCGUACUGAGGCUAUCAAAGGCUGAAUAGCAGCACCCCGACCUGGAGGAUCAUUCCCUCUCAUGUGUUUUCUGAUGGUUUGGCAACGCUGCUUCCCAAACAUCUGCAGUAAACAUCCCCCACCACAGAUGAGAAAAAAAAUGAGGCACCGAGUAGUGAGAGAUUAGAUCCUGAGUUCGUCGGUUUCCAUCUUGGAGCUGAAGAGGACGGACGAACAUCGCUUCUCCUUCUGAAAUGGGCUGAUUCUAUGAAAUCAC